GACUAGUAUAGGACAGUGGUUUGAGCACUGGACUAGGACUCUGGAGACUGGGGUUCAAAUCCCUGCUCAGCCA